rnacentral:rRNA from 1 species
UACGAAGGGGACUAGCGUUGUUCGGAAUUACUGGGCGUAAAGCGCGCGUAGGUGGUUCGUUAAGUUGGAUGUGAAAUCCCCGGGCUCAACCUGGGAACUGCAUUCAAAACUGACAAGCUAGAGUAUGGUAGAGGGUGGUGGAAUUUCCUGUGUAGCGGUGAAAUGCGUAGAUAUAGGAAGGAACACCAGUGGCGAAGGCGACCACCUGGACUGAUACUGACACUGAGGUGCGAAAGCGUGGGGAGCAAACAGG